rnacentral:lncRNA from 1 species
CUCGGGGAAAUGCUUUUGGGAGCUGUGGGCGCAACCCCAGUGGCAGUUAUGUGUCCUGCACCCCUAGAUGCCAUUUGUGGGCAGCUCCAGUGCCAGACAGGUAGGACCCAGCCUCUGCUGGGCUCCAUCCGGGAUCUACUCUGGGAGACAAUAGAUGUGAAUGGGACUGAGCUGAACUGCAGCUGGGUGCACCUGGACCUGGGCAGUGAUGUGGCCCAGCCCCUCCUGACUCUGCCUGGCACAGCCUGUGGCCCUGGCCUGGUGUGUAUAGACCAUCGAUGCCAGCGUGUGGAUCUCCUGGGGGCACAGGAAUGUCGAAGCAAAUGCCAUGGACAUGGGGUCUGUGACAGCAACAGGCACUGCUACUGUGAGGAGGGCUGGGCACCCCCUGACUGCACCACUCAGCUCAAAGCAACCAGCUCCCUGACCACAGGGCUGCUCCUCAGCCUCCUGGUCUUAUUGGUCCUGGUGAUGCUUGGUGCCAGCUACUGGUACCGUGCCCGCCUGCACCAGCGACUCUGCCAGCUCAAGGGACCCACCUGCCAGUACAGUCUCAGGGGCCAGCCAAGCCCCCACCCCCAAGGAAGCCACUGCCUGCCGACCCCCAGGGCCGGUGCCCAUCGGGUGACCUGCCCGGCCCAGGGGCUGGAAUCCCGCCCCUAGUGGUACCCUCCAGACCAGCGCCACCGCCUCCGACAGUGUCCUCGCUCUACCUCUGACCUCUCCGGAGGUUCCGCUGCCUCCAAGCCGGACUUAGGGCUUCAAGAGGCGGGCGUGCCCUCUGGAGUCCCCUACCAUGACUGAAGGCGCCAGAGACUGGCGGUGUCUUAAGACUCCGGGCACCGCCACGCGCUGUCAAGCAACACUCUGCGGACCUGCCGGCGUAGUUGCAGCGGGGGCUUGGGGAGGGGCUGGGGGUUGGACGGGAUUGAGGAAGGUCCGCACAGCCUGUCUCUGCUCAGUUGCAAUAAACGUGAC